AUUGAACGCUGGCGGCAUGCCUUACACAUGCGAGUCGAACGGUAACAGGUCUUCGGAUGCUGACGAGUGGCGAACGGGUGAGUAAUACAUCGGAACGUGCCCGAUCGUGGGGGAUAACGAAGCGAAAGCUUUGCUAAUACCGCAUACGAUCUACGGAUGAAAGCAGGGGACCGCAAGGCCUUGCGCGAACGGAGCGGCCGAUGGCAGAUUAGGUAGUUGGUGGGAUAAAAGCUUACCAAGCCGACGAUCUGUAGCUGGUCUGAGAGGACGACCAGCUACACUGGGACUGAGACACGGCCCAGACUCCUACGGGAGGCAGCAGUGGGGAAUUUUGGACAAUGGGUGAAAGCCUGAGCCAGCCAUGCCGCGUGCAGGAUGAAGGCCUUCGGGUUGUAAACUGCUUUUGUACGGAACGAAAAGACUCUGGUUAAUACCUGGGGUCCAUGACGGUACCGUAAGAAUAAGCACCGGCUAACUACGUGCCAGCCGCCGCCGUAAAAC
rnacentral:rRNA from 1 species